rnacentral:rRNA from 1 species
UCCUGACUGACCGAUAGUGAACCAGUACCGUGAGGGAAAGGCGAAAAGAACCCCGGCGAGGGGAGUGAAAAAGAACCUGAAACCGUGUACGUACAAGCAGUGGGAGCACGCUUAGGCGUGUGACUGCGUACCUUUUGUAUAAUGGGUCAGCGACUUAUAUUCUGUAGCAAGGUUAACCGAAUAGGGGAGCCGAAGGGAAACCGAGUCUUAACUGGGCGUUAAGUUGCAGGGUAUAGACCCGAAACCCGGUGAUCUAGCCAUGGGCAGGUUGAAGGUUGGGUAACACUAACUGGAGGACCGAACCGACUAAUGUUGAAAAAUUAGCGGAUGACUUGUGGCUGGGGGUGAAAGGCCAAUCAAACCGGGAGAUAGCUGGUUCUCCCCGAAAGCUAUUUAGGUAGCGCCUCGUGAAUUCAUCUCCGGGGGUAGAGCACUGUUUCGGCAAGGGGGUCAUCCCGACUUACCAACCCGAUGCAAACUGCGAAUACCGGAGAAUGUUAUCACGGGAGACACACGGCGGGUGCUAACGUCCGUCGUGAAGAGGGAAACAACCCAGACCGCCAGCUAAGGUCCCAAAGUCAUGGUUAAGUGGGAAACGAUGUGGGAAGGCCCAGACAGCCAGGAUGUUGGCUUAGAAGCAGCCAUCAUUUAAAGAAAGCGUAAUAGCUCACUGGUCGAGUCGGCCUGCGCGGAAGAUGUAACGGGGCUAAACCAUGCACCGAAGCUGCGGCAGCGACGCUUAUGCGUUGUUGGGUAGGGGAGCGUUCUGUAAGCCUGCGAAGGUGUGCUGUGAGGCAUGCUGGAGGUAUCAGAAGUGCGAAUGCUGACAUAAGUAACGAUAAAGCGGGUGAAAAGCCCGCUCGCCGGAAGACCAAGGGUUCCUGUCCAACGUUAAUCGGGGCAGGGUGAGUCGACCCCUAAGGCGAGGCCGAAAGGCGUAGUCGAUGGGAAACAG